GGUGUACCAAUGUUGUUAUAAGAUGGUAUCGGUAGAAGGUUUGGUACCAAGCUGGUGAACCUUGCUGAUUAUAGUGAAGGAAUUGCAAAUACAAAGUUGGUAUAUGGAAGCUUGGUUGUCAUCAUGUAAAAUACAUGUUUAAAAUAGAAAUGAAGAGCAUGGAGAUUUGGAUGAGUGGUACUUGUUGGAUUUGUUACCAGUUUUGCUAGAUCACUUGAUUGAGGUUUUUAAAGGCCCACGAGGAGAUUUAGUCUCUUAUAUAUUGCCAUAGGAUGGUUACAAAACCUAUGUAGCAAUGGAUGGUUAGCACUAUAGCAUUGUUCAUAAUGAUUUCAAGUAUUAGUUCUGGAUGAUAAGAUAGUAUUUUGCAAUUCUUAUUCUUUAGAAGUAUUAAUAUGCAUAUAAGUUAAAGGGACAUUAAUAUACUAAUGUGUAAGGCUGUUAUUGUAGGGCAGGAAGGGGGACG
rnacentral:lncRNA from 1 species